rnacentral:rRNA from 1 species
UUUUUAUGAGAGUUUGAUCCUGGCUCAGGACGAACGCUGGCGGCGUGCCUAAUACAUGCAAGUCGAACGCUUCUUUUUCCACCGGAGCUUGCUCCACCGGAAAAAGAGGAGUGGCGAACGGGUGAGUAACACGUGGGUAACCUGCCCAUCAGAAGGGGAUAACACUUGGAAACAGGUGCUAAUACCGUAUAACAAUCGAAACCGCAUGGUUUUGAUUUGAAAGGCGCUUUCGGGUGUCGCUGAUGGAUGGACCCGCGGUGCAUUAGCUAGUUGGUGAGGUAACGGCUCACCAAGGCCACGAUGCAUAGCCGACCUGAGAGGGUGAUCGGCCACAUUGGGACUGAGACACGGCCCAAACUCCUACGGGAGGCAGCAGUAGGGAAUCUUCGGCAAUGGACGAAAGUCUGACCGAGCAACGCCGCGUGAGUGAAGAAGGUUUUCGGAUCGUAAAACUCUGUUGUUAGAGAAGAACAAGGAUGAGAGUAACUGUUCAUCCCUUGACGGUAUCUAACCAGAAAGCCACGGCUAACUACGUGCCAGCAGCCGCGGUAAUACGUAGGUGGCAAGCGUUGUCCGGAUUUAUUGGGCGUAAAGCGAGCGCAGGCGGUUUCUUAAGUCUGAUGUGAAAGCCCCCGGCUCAACCGGGGAGGGUCAUUGGAAACUGGGAGACUUGAGUGCAGAAGAGGAGAGUGGAAUUCCAUGUGUAGCGGUGAAAUGCGUAGAUAUAUGGAGGAACACCAGUGGCGAAGGCGGCUCUCUGGUCUGUAACUGACGCUGAGGCUCGAAAGCGUGGGGAGCAAACAGGAUUAGAUACCCUGGUAGUCCACGCCGUAAACGAUGAGUGCUAAGUGUUGGAGGGUUUCCGCCCUUCAGUGCUGCAGCUAACGCAUUAAGCACUCCGCCUGGGGAGUACGACCGCAAGGUUGAAACUCAAAGG